rnacentral:hammerhead_ribozyme from 1 species
AUUCGGCUGAAGAGUCCCAAAUGUGACGAAACGCGCGUUCUGGAU